rnacentral:rRNA from 1 species
UGGACAAUGGGCGAAAGCCUGAUCCAGCCAUGCCGCGUGAGUGAAGAAGGCCUUCGGGUUGUAAAGCUCUUUUAGUCGGAAAGAAAGAGUUGCAAUGAAUAAUUGUGAUUUAUGACGGUACCGACAGAAAAAGCACCGGCUAACUACGUGCCAGCAGCCGCGGUAAUACGUAGGGUGCGAGCGUUAAUCGGAAUUACUGGGCGUAAAGGGUGCGCAGGCGGUCUUGCAAGUCAGAUGUGAAAGCCCCGGGCUUAACCUGGGAAUUGCGUUUGNAACUACAAGGCUAGAGUGCAGCAGAGGGGAGUGGAAUUCCAUGUGUAGCAGUGAAAUGCGUAGAGAUGUGGAAGAACACCGAUGGCGAAGGCAGCUCCCUGGGUUGACACUGACGCUCAUGCACGAAAGCGUGGGGAGCAAACA